UACGUAGGGGGCGAGCGUUAUCCGGAAUUAUUGGGCGUAAAGAGUGCGUAGGUGGUCUUGUAAGCGUGGGGUGAAAGGCAGUGGCUUAACCAUUGUUAGCCUUGCGAACUGUGAGACUUGAGUGCAGGAGAGGAAAGUGGAAUUCCUAGUGUAGCGGUGAAAUGCGUAGAUAUUAGGAGGAACAUCAGUGGCGAAGGCGACUUUCUGGACUGUAACUGACACUGAGGCACGAAAGCGUGGGGAGCAAACAGG
rnacentral:rRNA from 1 species